rnacentral:rRNA from 1 species
UUGGCUUAGAAGCAGCCACUCAUUCAAAGAGUGCGUAAUAGCUCACUGGUCGAGUGAUCCUGCGCCGAAGAUUUCCGGGGCUAAAACUUACUACCGAAGCUACGGCAUCAGUAAUGAUGGGUAGGGGAGCUUCCCAUACGGGUUGAAGCAUGACCGUAAGGACAUGUGGACAGUAUGGGAGUGAGAAUGUUGGCAUGAGUAGCGAGAUGUGGGUGAGAAUCCCACAGGCCGUAAACCCAAGGUUUCCAGGGGAAGGUUCGUCCGCCCUGGGUUAGUCGGGACCUAAGCUGAGGCCGAAAGGCGUAGGUGAUGGACAACAGGUUGAUAUUCCUGUACUACCGAU